GGAGCAAGGAACAAUCUGGAACAUCUCCACACACGCACAGUGAAGGAACAUGGACCUCAGAGCAUCCCUCUCUCUCCUAGUGCUGUUGCUGGGUUUGUGUAAGGGUCUGGCCUUCAUGAUGGUGAGAGAUGGUGUUGACAUUGAAAAGCUUAUCGACGAUGCAGACAACGUGGACUUAACAACCCAGAUUCUGUCCGCUAACAAUGCCUCCAGUGAGCUUCUCGUGGAGGGCGAUAUUGCUGUUCCGCGACAGAGGAAUGCGUUAAUCUGCUCCUCCUGCAAGUGGAAGAAAUCUGCCAACGGCCUUGUCGAAGUGCCUGUGAUUGUGAGCCCUGAUUUCUCCGUCUAUGAAAGGAUGAAAAUCGAAAAGGCGAUGCUGACCUUCACAAAAGAGACCUGCAUCCGAUUUGUGCCUCGCUCAACAGAGGUUGACUACAUCAGCAUAGAGAACGGUAAAGGGUGCUGGUCCUACAUUGGGAGAGCAGGAGGCAGGCAGUUGGUGUCCUUGAACAGGGAUGAAUGCAUCUACAAUGGCCUCAUCCAGCAUGAGCUCAACCACGCCCUGGGCUUCUACCACGAGCACAACAGGGCCGACAGGGACCAGUAUGUGAAAGUCCACUGGGAAUACGUCGACCCAGACCAACAAUUUUAGAAAACAAUAUGGUAACACCAUGGGCACUCCAUAUGACUACACAUCUGUGAUGCACUACUCCCGAACUGUUUUCACCACCGUGUAUGGAAAGGCAACGCUCACCCCCAUCCCUGACCCGGACGUCCCCAUUGGCCAGAUACAGGGUCUCUCCCCCACUGACAUCCUGAGGAUCAAAAAGCUGUAUGAAUGCUGAUUGGAGCAAAUCAUCAAAACAGGAAUGGCGAUUGUUGACUAAACAUAAAAGAACAUAUCUCAAACCUGGAAACAAUUGUGCUGCCUCUCACAACUGUGGUGAAAAAUCAGAUGUUAUAAUGUCAACUCAACAAUUUCUCAAGAAUGUUAAUGUUACACCCUCAGUAUGUGUGAUACAUUCAUAAUUUGCCAUUUCAAAUAAAAAGCCAACUUAUUUUAAUGGGUUAGGGUUAGGUUUAGGUUUAAGGUGCCUUUAACCCUUACAAGCCCGACC